CGUGAGGGAAAGGCGAAAAGAACCCCGGCGAGGGGAGUGAAAAAGAACCUGAAACCGUGUACGUACAAGCAGUGGGAGCCUCUUUAUGGGGUGACUGCGUACCUUUUGUAUAAUGGGUCAGCGACUUAUAUUCUGUAGCAAGGUUAACCGAAUAGGGGAGCCGAAGGGAAACCGAGUCUUAACUGGGCGUUAAGUUGCAGGGUAUAGACCCGAAACCCGGUGAUCUAGCCAUGGGCAGGUUGAAGGUUGGGUAACACUAACUGGAGGACCGAACCGACUAAUGUUGAAAAAUUAGCGGAUGACUUGUGGCUGGGGGUGAAAGGCCAAUCAAACCGGGAGAUAGCUGGUUCUCCCCGAAAGCUAUUUAGGUAGCGCCUCGUGAAUUCAUCUCCGGGGGUAGAGCACUGUUUCGGCAAGGGGGUCAUCCCGACUUACCAACCCGAUGCAAACUGCGAAUACCGGAGAAUGUUAUCACGGGAGACACACGGCGGGUGCUAACGUCCGUCGUGAAGAGGGAAACAACCCAGACCGCCAGCUAAGGUCCCAAAGUCAUGGUUAAGUGGGAAACGAUGUGGGAAGGCCCAGACAGCCAGGAUGUUGGCUUAGAAGCAGCCAUCAUUUAAAGAAAGCGUAAUAGCUCACUGGUCGAGUCGGCCUGCGCGGAAGAUGUAACGGGGCUAAACCAUG
rnacentral:rRNA from 1 species